rnacentral:rRNA from 1 species
AGAGUUUGAUCAUGGCUCAGAACGUACGCUGGCGGCACGCCUAACACAUGCAAGUCGAACGCAGUAGCAAUACUGAGUGGCGAACGGGUGAGUAUAAUGUAGGUAUCUGCCUUUUGGUUUGGAAUAACACGAGGAAACUUGUGCUAAUACCGGAUAAGCCUUCACAGGGAAAGUUUUAACGCCGAAAGAUGAGCCCGCACUUGAUUAGCUAGUUGGUAAGGUAAAAGCUUACCAAGGCAAUGAUCAAUAGCUGUUCUUAGAGGAAGCCCAGCCACAUUGGGACUGAGACACGGCCCAGACUCCUACGGGAGGCAGCAGUGGGGAAUCUUGCACAAUGGGGGAAACCCUGAUGCAGCGAUGCCGCGUGAGUGAAGAAGGCCCUUGGGUUGUAAAACUCUUUCGUCGGGGAAGAAAAUGACUGUACCCGAAUAAGAAGGUCCGGCUAACUUCGUGCCAGCAGCCGCGGUAAUACGAAGGGACCUAGCGUAGUUCGGAAUUACUGGGCUUAAAGAGCUCGUAGGUGGUUAGAAAAGUUGGUGGUGAAAUCCCAAGGCUUAACCUUGGAACUGCCAUCAAAACUUUUUAGCUAGAGUAUGAUAGAGGGAAACGGAAUUUCUAGUGUAGAGGUGAAAUUCGUAGAUAUUAGAAAGAAUACCAAUUGCGAAGGCAGAUUUCUGGAUCAUUACUGACACUGAGGUGCGAAAGCAUGGGUAGCGAAGAGGAUUAGAUACCCUCGUAGUCCAUGCUGUAAACGAUGUGUGUUAGACGUUGGAAAUUUUUUUUCAGUGUCGCAGCGAAAGCGAUAAACACACCGCCUGGGGAGUACGACCGCAAGGUUAAAACUCAAAUGAAUUGACGGGGACCCGCACAAGCAGUGUAGCAUGUGGUUUAAUUCGAAGAUACGCGCAGAACCUUACCAACACUUGACAUGUUCGUCGCGAGACCAAGAGAUUGGUUUCUUCAUUUAGUUGGACGAAACACAGGUGCUGCAUGGCUGUCGUCAGCUCGUGUCGUGAGAUGUUGGGUUAAGUCCCGCAACGAGCGCAACCCCCACGUUUAGUUGCUACCAUUUAGUUGGGCACUCUAAAAGAACUGCCAGUGAUAAGCUGGAGGAAGGUGGGGAUGACGUCAAGUCCUCAUGGCCCUUACGUGUUGGGCUACACACGUGCUACAAUGGUAUUUACAACAGGAAGCAAGACGGCGACGUUAAGCAAAUCCUUAAAAAAUACCUCAGUUCGGAUUGCACUCUGCAACUCGAGUGCAUGAAGCUGGAAUUACUAGUAAUCGUGGAUCAGCGUGCCACGGUGAAUGCGUUCCCGGGUCUUGUACACACCGCCCGUCACACCAUGGGAGUUGGUUCUACCUCAAGGC